CCUACGGGGUGCAGCAGUGGGGAAUAUUGCGCAAUGGGCGAAAGCCUGACGCAGCGACGCCGCGUGAGGGAUGAAGGUCUUCGGAUCGGAAAACUCUGUCAGCAGGGAAGAACGGUCACUGUGCUAAUCAGCAGUGAAUUGACGGUACCUGCAAAGGAAGCACCGGCUAACUCCGUGCCAGCAGCCGCGGUAAUACGGAGGGUGCGAGCGUUAAUCGGAAUUACUGGGCGUAAAGCGCUCGUAGGCGGUAUGUCAAGUCAAGGGGGAAAUCCCCGCGCUCAACGUGGGAACGGCCUUUGAAACUGGCAAACUGGAGUGUGUGAGAGGAGAGUGGAAUUCCAGGUGUAGGAGUGAAAUCCGUAGAUAUCUGGAGGAACAUCAGUGGCGAAGGCGACUAUCUGGCACAUAACUGACGCUGAGGAGCGAAAGCGUGGGUAGCAAACAGGAUUAGAUACCCGAGUAGUC
rnacentral:rRNA from 1 species